UUACGUUGAAAUCAAAAUGAAAACGCAGGUUCUCGUUCGAUCACGGCAGAUAACCAUCGUAUAGCCAGGUCAGUACUUAGAUGAGGGACCGCUUGGGAAC